rnacentral:rRNA from 1 species
UGACCUACGGGACGCAGCAGUGGGGAAUAUUGCACAAUGGGGGAAACCCUGAUGCAGCGACGCCGCGUGAGUGAAGAAGUAUUUCGGUAUGUAAAGCUCUAUCAGCAGGGAAGAUAAUGACGGUACCUGACUAAGAAGCCCCGGCUAAAUACGUGCCAGCAGCCGCGGUAAUACGUAUGGGGCAAGCGUUAUCCGGAUUUACUGGGUGUAAAGGGAGCGUAGGCGGCAGGGCAAGCCUGAUGUGAAAGCCCGGGGCUCAACCCCGGGACUGCAUUGGGAACUGCCCCGCUCGAGUGCCGGAGGGG